AACGUAGGACGCAAGCGUUAUCCGGAGUUACUGGGCGUAAAGCGCGGGCAGGCGGCUCGAAACGUCUGAUAUGAAAUCUCCUCGCUCAACGGGGAGAGGCCAUUGGAAACGGUCGGGCUGGAGGGCAGUAGAGGCAGGCGGAAUUCCGGGUGGAGUGGUGAAAUGCGUAGAGAUCCGGAGGUACACCAGAGGCGAAGGCGGCCUGCUGGGCUGCACCUGACGCUGAACCGCGAAAGCCAGGGGAGCGAACGGG
rnacentral:rRNA from 1 species